UACGGAGGGUGCGAGCGUUGUCCGGAAUCACUGGGCGUAAAGGGCGCGUAGGCGGCGCGAGUAGUCAACGGUGAAAGCCCGGGGCUCAACCCCGGGUCGGCCGUCGAUACUCUCGUGCUUGAGCACUGUAGAGGCAGGUGGAAUUCCGGGUGUAGCGGUGGAAUGCGUAGAUAUCUGGAGGAACACCGGUGGCGAAGGCGACGUCCUGGACCGGCAUUGACGCUGAGGCGCGAAAGCCAGGGGAGCAAACGGG
rnacentral:rRNA from 1 species